AUUGAACGCUGGCGGCAUGCCUUACACAUGCAAGUCGAACGGCAGCACGGGUGCUUGCACCUGGUGGCGAGUGGCGAACGGGUGAGUAAUACAUCGGAACGUACCUUAUCGUGGGGGAUAACGCAGCGAAAGCUGUGCUAAUACCGCAUACGCCCUGAGGGGGAAACAGGGGGAUCGCAAGACCUCGCGCGAUUAGAGCGGCCGAUGCCUGAUUAGCUUGUUGGUGGGGUAAAAGCCCACCAAGGCGACGAUCAGUAGCUGGUCUGAGAGGACGAUCAGCCACACUGGGACUGAGACACGGCCCAGACUCCUACGGGAGGCAGCAGUGGGGAAUUUUGGACAAUGGGGGCAACCCUGAUCCAGCAAUGCCGCGUGAGUGAAGAAGGCCUUCGGGUUGUAAAGCUCUUUUGUCAGGGAAGAAACACCGGCUCUAACACAGUCCGGGAAUGACGGUACCUGAAGAAUAAGCACCGGCUAACUACGUGCCAGCCGCCGCGGUAA
rnacentral:rRNA from 1 species